GGCACCAGCUGACAGAGCGAGGUGCCACAAGCAGCAGCAAGGAUGGGGGGGGCGGCCCACAAUUAAGGGAACCACCGUAGGGCAGCCCCUCACCACCGAGAGUCAGGAGCAGAAGAGAAAGCUGAGGCUACACAAACAGGAAGCUCCAAAGCUUGCGUGGGAGGAGGGGAUGAGGUGGGGGCCGUUGCCAUGGCUUCUGUAUACCAAACAGUGUUGGAGGCUGGGUGGGGGCUCCCGGCAGAAACACCCUCUCAACACAGACUUUGAGAUACCAACUGCUCACAGAACUCCCAAGACACCGGCUCCAGUGAGGACUCGGCGAUGGAGCCCGCGGGUGGAGCUCAGUCCCUGAGUCCGUGCUCCGGACGGACGGACGCCCUGUCUAUGCAUGAACUAACCUCGCCUGACCUCAUCGUCCAACAAUGUCGGGUCAGGGCUUGGAGACAGGAUCUGACAGCACGGGGCGGGGUAAAGUAAUCACCGGACCCUUGCCUGGUGCCAGCCCUUGAUCCCCGCUGGAACAAGUCAAAAGCGCUGGCUUCUUGGUUUCUACAGACCAUGCACAUCCCCCCGACUCCCGUCCCUGCGACCU